CUUGAAACUUCCAGGCAGGUGUGUUGAGGCAAGUUGGAGCUAAACUCUGCAGGACACCGGCACCCCAGGACCGAGUUUGUUCUAUAGCUUUAAAAA